UGCUUAGACAACUUAUCCUUAAAUGCAACUAAUUGGAAUGCACUGAUCCACCUAUACAUAUCUGCUACCGAACAACAUCCAAAGUAAUUAAAUACAUGGGAAUGAUUACUCGGUGCAAUUUUAACGCAAGCUUCCAAAGUAACAAUCCGAGCUGACAAAAUCUUUUAUGCCAUGAUUUCUACAAAGUAACAAAGUAACAUUGGUUAACCAAGUAUCAUGGAGAUAGCACGUAAGAAGAAUGAAGAAAACUUCAUUAUAAAGUGAGAACAAUAAUAAUAAUAAUAAUAAUAAUAAUAAUAUACAGUUUUGUUCCAAAGUAACAUAUCCAGAUGCAAGGUUAAUGUGUAUCCCAACAAAUUGGGAAUGUUAAAUCCUACAAAAAUGAAUUCAACUGGAUAUAGAUUUGAUCGUGUUAGUAAUUAACCAAGUAACCAACCUUGAGUUGUCCUAGCAUUCCUUGCGGCGGUAGAAGAAGAAUUCCCUGUAGUAAAGAACAGUACGACUUUUCUUGUCUUCCUCUCACCGCGAGGAGAUCUCCCCUUAUGCUGAAGCACGUAUUCCUAUCGUUUAAUCUGACAGUCUGGUAAAUGCUAUCGCUACUUUGGAUGACACUCAACCCAUCAUAACGACGCGUGGUGCUUGACAUCUCACGAAAAAGAACGUUUCUACUAUUUUAUUUAUUCGAUAUCGCACUACGACCUCACACACAAUUAUUUGCUAUCCAAAAGCGCCUUUCCGCGUACCCGAGACUGUGUGCGCGCGCGCACGCGUUUACUAUUUCAUCGUUCAACAUGAAAAAGAAAAGGAUAGAAUGACAGGGAGAGAGAAGGGGAGAUAGAACGAGUAGGAAGGAGAGGGAAAGAGGAUGGAAAAACUAGAAGGAGAGGGGGACGGAGAGAGAGAAGGAAAAAGAUGAGUGAGUAAGUGAGAGGAUAGAGGAGUGCUGAAGAACGAAAACUACCACACGUUUAACUAACGUGUUCAUGAGAGAUGUAUGAUGGUAACGUAUGUGCAUACAAACAACAUAGGAUCAUGUAUGAUCUCUCCACAUCGCAUUCCGAAUCAACGUCGUCCAAGCAUCGAGCAGACGACUAUCUCUCUUUCUCUCUCUCUCUCUUUUUCGUUCUUUUUUUGUCUUUUUCUCUCUUGUUUUUUUCCCUAUCUCUCUUUUUCUCUUUCUAGUUCUUUACUUCGUGCACGUCUCGGUGCCUUAACGAUGACGACCGAAUUAUCACGAAUGCGAAACCGUUAAAGGAAGAACGAAUAUGU